UACGUAGGGUGCGAGCGUUGUCCGGAAUUAUUGGGCGUAAAGGGCUCGUAGGCGGUUUGUCGCGUCGGGAGUGAAAACAUCUGGCUUAACUGGGUGCUUGCUUUCGAUACGGGCAGACUAGAGGUAUGCAGAGGAGAACGGAAUUCCUGGUGUAGCGGUGAAAUGCGCAGAUAUCAGGAGGAACACCGGUGGCGAAGGCGGUUCUCUGGGCAUGAUCUGACGCUGAGGAGCGAAAGUGUGGGGAGCGAACAGG
rnacentral:rRNA from 1 species